UACGUAGGUGGCAAGCGUUGUCCGGAUUUAUUGGGCGUAAAGCGCGCGCAGGCGGUUCGUUUAGUCCGAGGUGAAAUCUCCCGGCUCAACUGGGAGGGGUCUUCGGAUACUGGCGGACUUGAGGAGAGCAGAGGUGAGUGGAAUUCUCGGUGUAGUGGUGAAAUGCGUAGAUAUCGAGAGGAACACCAGUGGCGAAGGCGGCUCACUGGGCUCCACCUGACGCUGAGGCGCGAAAGCGUGGGGAGCGAACCGG
rnacentral:rRNA from 1 species